rnacentral:rRNA from 1 species
UAGAGUUUGAUCCUGGCUCACCUUGAACGCUGGCGGCAUGCCUAACACAUGCAAGUCGAACGGCAGCACAGGUAGCAAUACCGGGUGGCGAGUGGCGGACGGGUGAGGANNNNAUCGGGACCUGCCCAGACGUGGGGGAUAACGUAGGGAAACUUACGCUAAUACCGCAUACGUCCUACGGGAGAAAGCGGGGGAUCUUCGGACCUCGCGCGGUUGGAUGGACCGAUGUUCGAUUAGCUAGUUGGUGAGGUAAUGGCUCACCAAGGCGACGAUCGAUAGCUGGUCUGAGAGGAUGAUCAGCCACACUGGGACUGAGACACGGCCCAGACUCCUACGGGAGGCAGCAGUGGGGAAUAUUGGACAAUGGGCGCAAGCCUGAUCCAGCAAUGCCGCGUGUGUGAAGAAGGCCUUCGGGUUGUAAAGCACUUUUAUCAGGAGCGAAAUACUACGGGUUAAUACCUCGUGGGGCUGACGGUACCUGAGGAAUAAGCACCGGCUAACUUCGUGCCAGCAGCCGCGGUAAUACGAAGGGUGCAAGCGUUAAUCGGAAUUACUGGGCGUAAAGCGUGCGUAGGCGGUUUUUUAAGUCUGCUNNNANAUCCCCGGGCUCAACCNNGGAA